AUGGCUAUAAUAGCAGAAUGGAUAAAGGAGGAGGAGAGGAAAAAGAAAGAAAAAACAAUUCUAUGGUCAACUAAUCUUCAACAAAAGAAGGAAUUGUCCUCCAGUCUUCAACAGAAGCUAUGUUCUUUUCAAGAGGAAAUGAUGAAAGAGAGGAAUCUCUUUGAGGAAGAAUUAAAGCAAGUACUGGAUGAGCUAGAUAAAUUACAGCAAAGGAGGAACAAGCUGAAAGGCUAGUUAGGCAGUUGGAAGAGGAAACAAAAUCUUGAGCUGAAGAACUAAAACUCCUAGAAGAGAAGCUGAGAGGGAAAGAAGCUGAACUGGAAAAAACUAAUGCUGCUCACAGUCAGGCCACCCUGCUUUUACAGGAGAAGUAUGAUAGUAUAGUGCAAAACCUUGGAGAUGUUACUGCUCAAUUUGAAAGUUAUAAAGCAUUAACAGCUAGUGAGAUAGAAGAUCUUAAGCUGGAGAACUCAUCACUUCAGGAAAAAGUGGCCGAGGGCGAGAAAAGUGCAGAGGACAUUCAUUAUCAGAUAUUGGCAACUGAGACCUCAAAUCAAGAAUACGUAAGGAUGCUUCUAGAUCUGCAGACCAAGUCAGCACUUAAAGAAGCAGAAAUUAAAGAAAUCACAGUCUCUUCUCUUAAAACAAUAACUGACUUGCAGAACCAACUCAAGCAACAAGGUGAAGAGUUCAAGAAACAACUGGAAGAGGAAGAAGCAAGAAAAGCUGGAAAAGAAAACACAGUGGCAGAGUUAACUGAGGAAAUGAAUAAGUGGCGUCUCCUUUAUGAAGAACUAUAUAAUAAAACGAAACCUUUUCAGCUACAACUGGAUGCAUUUGAAGCAGAGAAACAGGCUUUGUUGAAUGAACAUGGUGCAGCUCAGGAACAACUAAAUAAACUAAGAGAUUCGUAUGCUAAAUUAGUGGGUCAUCAAAAUCUAAAGCAAAAAAUCAAGCAUGUUGUGAAACUGAAAGAUGAAAAUAGCCAACUCAAAUCGGAGGUGUCAAAACUCCGCUCUCAGCUUGCUAAAAGAAAACAAAGUGACACAAAACUACAGGAGGAAUUGAAUAAAGUUCUUGGUAUCAAACACUUUGAUCCUUCAAAGGCUUUUCUUCAUGAAAGCAAAGAAAAUUUUGCUCUCAAAACGCCGUUGAAAGAAGGCAAUACAAACUGCUGUUGAGCUCCUAUGGAGUUUCAAGAAUGAUGCAAGUAAACAUCUGAAAGACCUGUUAAAGAUUAUUUCAUUCUUACU